UUAAUAGUAACAGCUAUGUGUGCCCCAAACCCACCUCCACAUCUAGACAAAGGCCAGAGCCCUCCGCUGGGCCUGGUGGCCUCUGUUUGCCCUGCCCAGAGAAUUACCUGGGCCUGCCCGAGUCCCAGGCCUGGUGAGUCAGCUGACCAGGAGCGGGCACCACCCUCCAGGAGCAGGAACGCAGCUGGGACAAGGGCCACCACCUUCCAGGGAGGGAAACAGACUCUCUGGGCAGUGACUGGAGAAGGACGUGCAGCAGCUCCAGGCCUGCAGACGGUGGUCUCUGGCCCCUCGCCGGGCCAGGUGGUGGCGCCGGUGUCCGGGAACAGCCUGGGUGUGCGGCGUGCGGAGAUCAAGCCCGGGGUGCGUGAGAUCCACCUCUGUAAGGACGAGCGCGGCAAGACGGGGCUGCGGCUGCGGGCCAUCAACAAGGGACUCUUCGUGCAGCUGGUACAGGUCAACACUCCUGCAUCCCUUGUGGGGCUGCGCUUUGGGGACCAGAUCCUGCAGAUUGACGGGCGCGACUGUGCCGGGUGGAGCACAGACAGAGCGCACCGGGCAGUGAAGAGGGCUUCAGCAGAGAAGAUCGUCAUGGUUGUUCGGGACCGGCCUUUCCAGCGGACGGUCACCAUGCACAGGGACAGCACCGGCCACGUGGGCUUCGUCAUCAAGAAGGGGAAGGUGGUCUCUAUAGUCAAAGGGAGUUCUGCGGCCCGCAAUGGGCUCCUCACCAACCACUACGUGUGUGAAGUGAAUGGGCAGAAUGUCAUCGGGCUGAAGGACAAAGAGGUCACGGAGAUUCUGGCCACGGCCGGGAGCGUCAUCACCCUGACCAUCAUCCCCACCGUGAUCUACGAGCACAUGGUCAAAAAGUUGUCCCCGACCCUGCUCCGCCACACCAUGGACCACUCCGUCCCGGAUGUCUGACGUCACGGGCAGCUCGCCCUCCCUCCUCCUGCAGGAACGCAGAGGCCUCAGGAGACCUGCUGCCUGGAGCCGGAUGUCCUGACAGGUGUGUGUGUGUGUGUGUGAGUGAGUGUGUGUGAGUGUGUGUGUGACCGCAGAGCACAUCAUCUUCAUGUGGAGCUCAGCCUCCUCGGAGCCUGACGCUUGCCUGGACCACGGCGCCCAGGGCCACAGGCAGCGGCUUGCGCGGGUUUCAGUGUCGCGGCAGCCGGCUCAGGGCCUCGGGAAGGUGCAGCGGGGUCCCUUUCGGGACGUUACCUCUACCAGAAGGACAGUCCACAUUGAGAGAACAGAAGCACAUUCCUUGUGAGAAUUUUUCCCUUUACUUGAUCUUUGACACACACUGUACAUGGGUAUAACUCCUCACUUAUCUUUUGAAUAAAGCUUUGAUUUUAAAUAAAA